GCGAGGCCUUUCAGCUGGGACAGCUGGGCACCUGGCGGUCCCACCACCGGUUGCUUUGAAUCAGAUCUGCCCAGCGAGGGGGAACAGAGUGGAGGAGGGCGAAGGCUGGCCGGGGCGACGAGGGCAGGACCUACCAACACCUGCUACCUUUGCUCCGAAACCAGGAGGAAGGUGGUCCAGGUCAUCUCUGAUGCACCGGACACUGGGACAUCAGAUCAGCCUCACUCCCAGCACUGCAUCGGACCUUUGAGUGGCAUCUGAUGAAGCCUGCUCAGAGACGCCUAUGAGCCAUAGUUCAUCAGACAGCGGGGUGGGAUGAGGGCUGGAGAGGAAGGAGAGGUAGUGCUGUUUCUGAGAUCCGAGUCUCGAGUCAGGCCACCACUGAGGUAGAUCCUGUCACCAUAAGGACACACAAAAGCUUUGGAUUUGAGCAGAUAGUUCUGCCUGCUGGUCUCUCAGCUGGGAUGAAGGUCAAAACACUAGAUGGAAUCUUCAGUUGUGCUGUAAUAUUUUCAGUAAACUUGGAAUACGACAACGAAAAUAUCGUGUGUGUUCCCUAACCCCACCACACAUAAGCGCACAUGCUCCUAUAGACUCA
rnacentral:lncRNA from 1 species